UGGCCAAGCUAGGGGUGUCUGGGAUCCUUGCCCAGGCUGAGAACACACCCUUAGAACCUGAUCCGGUUCAAACCGGCGUAGGAAAGCUACUUUUUUGAGGA
rnacentral:ncRNA from 2 species